UACGAAGGGUGCAAACUUUGCUCGGACUUAUUGGGCGUAAAGCGCACGUAGGCGGCAUUGCAAGUCGGAUGUGAAAUCCCUCGGCUUAACCAAGGAAGUGCAUCCGAAACUGCAGUGCUUGAGUACUUAAGAGGAUCGCGGAAUUCCCGGUGUAGAGGUGAAAUUCGUAGAUAUCGGGAGGAACACCAGUGGCGAAGGCGGCGAUCUGGGAAGAUACUGACGCUGAGGUGCGAAAGCGUGGGGAGCAAACAGG
rnacentral:rRNA from 1 species